GAUGAACGCUGGCGGCGUGCCUAAUACAUGCAAGUCGAGCGAACAGACGAGGAGCUUGCUCCUUCGACGUUAGCGGCGGACGGGUGAGUAACACGUAGGUAACCUACCUAUAAGACUGGGAUAACUUCGGGAAACCGGAGCUAAUACCGGAUAAUAUUUCGAACCGCAUGGUUCGAUAGUGAAAGAUGGCUUUGCUAUCACUUAUAGAUGGACCUGCGCCGUAUUAGCUAGUUGGUAAGGUAACGGCUUACCAAGGCAACGAUACGUAGCCGACCUGAGAGGGUAAUCGGCCACACUGGAACUGAGACACGGUCCAGACUCCUACGGGAGGCAGCAGUAGGGAAUCUUCCGCAAUGGGCGAAAGCCUGACGGAGCAACGCCGCGUGAGUGAUGAAGGUCUUCGGAUCGUAAAACUCUGUUAUUAGGGAAGAACAAACGUGUAAGUAACUGUGCACGUCUUGACGGUACCUAAUCAGAAAGCCACGGCUAACUACGUG
rnacentral:rRNA from 1 species